rnacentral:rRNA from 1 species
CACGCCGUAAACGAUGGAUACUAGGUGUAGGAGGUAUCGACCCCUUCUGUGCCGGAGUUAACACAAUAAGUAUCCCACCUGGGGAGUACGGCCGCAAGGCUGAAACUCAAAGGAAUUGACGGGGGCCCGCACAAGCAGUGGAGUAUGUGGUUUAAUUCGAAGCAACGCGAAGAACCUUACCAGGGCUUGACAUCCCUUGACAGUCCUAGAGAUAGGAUAUCCCUUCGGGGCAAGGAGACAGGUGG